rnacentral:lncRNA from 1 species
AAAUGGGAACCAAGUUCCAUUGGCGAUGUAAUAUAGAGAUAGCGACUAUAUCACCAAAGUAACAUGAAAUAAGGCUUCUCAAGUGCUUUUAUACGUAUAAGUAGAAUCAUAAUUCAACUCAACCCCAUGAAACGUUGAAAGCUACCGUGUGGUUCAGCUCUGUCAAUAGUUAUAUCCUUCCAUAACUAGCCCUGCCAUUGUUUAAAGCAUUCUGUGAGCUGACUCAAAGGUGGUCUUGGGCAGUAGAAGCAUACUAGAAAACAUGGAAAAUGCUUUUGAAAAACAGAGUGCAAGGUCCAUAUUACAAAACCAUUCUAAGCUGUCAACAGAAAUAAACACUAAAUUUAUAUAUAUGUAGUCUUAGACUCUUACCAGUACUCAUCAACCUUCCUCCCCCUUCUUUUGUAUGCCAGUACUCAGUUUAACUAUGUAGGCAGUGAUAGAUACAUAUCAAUACCUGUUUACCCCUCAAGCCUCAGCUCUAUGUGCAUCAUCUUCCGUUUGAGAAACAUCCUCGGAGGCAAUGGUAUUGCUUGUUGCCGCUACUGGAUUGAUCUCAAAUUUUGAGGGUAUAGAGGCAUCCUUGAAACCAGAAUCCAGAUCUUUGGCAGGAUCAACAGGAUGAGAUAUAUGGGAUUCAAACAUGCUUGGGGGUUCAGACCCUUCAGCUGCAAGCUUCAGCUUAACUUGAUCUGCAUCUCCCAG